UACGUAGGUUGCGAGCGUUGUCCGGAUUUACUGGGCGUAAAGCGCGCGCAGGCGGUUCUUUAAGUCCCGGGUGAAAUCGCCCGGCUCAACUGGGCGGGGGCCUGGGGGACUGCGGGACUGGAGGGGCCUAGAGGCCGGUGGAACUCCCGGUGUAGUGGUGAAAUGCGUAGAGAUCGGGAAGAACACCAGUGGCGAAGGCGGCCGGCUGGGGGCGCCCUGACGCUGAGGCGCGAGAGCGUGGGGAGCGAACCGG
rnacentral:rRNA from 1 species